rnacentral:rRNA from 1 species
GACGAACGCUGGCGGCGUGCCUAACACAUGCAAGUCGAGCGGGGACAGAGGCUUCGGCCGAUGUUCUAGCGGCGGACGGGUGAGUAACGCGUGAGCAACCUUUCCUCUACUGGGGAAUAACACCGGGAAACUGGUACUAAUACCGCAUGAGACCACAGCAUCGCAUGGUGCAGGGGUCAAAGAUUUAUCGGUAGAGGGUGGGCUCGCGUCUGAUUAGAUAGUUGGUGGGGUAACGGCCUACCAAGUCGACGAUCAGUAGCCGACCUGAGAGGGUGAUCGGCCACAUUGGGACUGAGACACGGCCCAAACUCCUACGGGAGGCAGCAGUGGGGAAUAUUGGGCAAUGGGCGAAAGCCUGACCCAGCAACGCCGCGUGAAGGAAGAAGGCCCUCGGGUUGUAAACUUCUUUUACCAGGGACGAACACAAUGACGGUACCUGGAGAAAAAGCAACGGCUAACUACGUG